rnacentral:rRNA from 1 species
AUUGAACGCUGGCGGCAGGCUUAACACAUGCAAGUCGAGCGGGGUGAUGGUGCUUGCACUAUCACUUAGCGGCGGACGGGUGAGUAAUGCUUAGGAAUCUGCCUAUUAGUGGGGGACAACAUCUCGAAAGGGAUGCUAAUACCGCAUACGUUCUACGGGAGAAAGCAGGGGAUCACUUGUGACCUUGCGCUAAUAGAUGAGCCUAAGUCGGAUUAGCUAGUUGGUGGGGUAAAGGCCUACCAAGGCGACGAUCUGUAGCGGGUGUGAGGGGAUGAUCCGCCGCACUGGGACUGAGACACGGCCCAGACUCCUACGGGAGGCAGCAGUGGGGAAUAUUGGACAAUGGGGGGAACCCUGAUCCAGCCAUGCCGCGUGUGUGAAGAAGGCCUUAUGGUUGUAAAGCACUUUAAGCGAGGAGGAGGCUCUUUUGGUUAAUACCCAAGAUGAGUGGACGUUACUCGCAGAAUAAGCACCGGCUAACUCUGUGCCAGCCGCCGCAGUAA